rnacentral:rRNA from 1 species
GUUUGAUCCUGGCUCAGGAUGAACGCUGGCGGCGUGCCUACCAUGCACGUCGAACGUGAGAGGAUAGCAAUAUUCUUGAAAGUGGCGCACGGGUGAGUAAUACGUAGGUAACCUGCCCUGAAGCGGGGGAUAACAGUUGGAAACGACUGCUAACACCGCAUAUUGCCGGGAUGUCGGGAGACAAUCUGGUGAAAACUCUGGUGCUUCAGGAGGGGCCUGCGGCCGAUUAGCUAGUUGGCGGGGUAAGAGCCCACCAAGGCGACGAUCGGUAGCUGGUCUGAGAGGACGAUCAGCCACACGGGAACUGAGACACGGUCCCGACUCCUACGGGGGGCAGCAGUGAGGAAUAUUGGGCAAUGGGCGCAAGCCUGACCCAGCAACGCCGCGUGGAGGAAGACGGCCUUCGGGUUGUAAACUCCUUUUACGGGGGAAGAGGAAGGACGGUACCCCGAGAAUAAGUCACGGCUAACUACGUGCCAGCAGCCGCGGUAAUACGUAGGUGACAAGCGUUAUCCGGAAUUACUGGGCGUAAAGCGCACGCAGGCGGCGCAUUAAGUCUGACGUGAAAUCUCCUGGCUUAACUGGGAGGGGUCGUUGGAGACUGAUGUGCUUGAGGCGAUGAGAGGGGUGUAGAAUUCCCGGUGUAGUGGUGGAAUGCGUAGAUAUCGGGAGGAAUACCAGUGGCGAAAGCGACACCCUGGCAUUAGCCUGACGCUCAUGUGCGAAGGCGUGGGGAGCGAACGGGAUUAGAUACCCCGGUAGUCCACGCGGUAAACGAUGAAUACUAGGUGUGGGUGGAGUGAAAUCCAUCUGUGCCGAAGCAAACGCGCUAAGUAUUCCGCCUGGGGAGUACGGCCGCAAGGCUAAAACUCAAAGGAAUUGACG